rnacentral:tRNA from 1 species
GCCUUCGUGGUGUAGUGGUCAGCACGCUCGACGCGUAACCGAGAGGUACAUGGUUCGAUUCCCGGUGAAGGCG